UUGAUUUAUUUGUUUUUGUUACUCAGAAGAUACAGAUGAUACAAUAGAGUUUGGUUUUCCUCUGGCGGGCCGUCCCGUUUUACGGGGAGCGGGCUGAUCCGCCGAGGCAACAAUAAGGUAUGUUCACAGGGGUUUGGGAGUUGUAAACUCGGUAAUGAUCCCUCCGCUGGUUCACCAACGGAGA
rnacentral:misc_RNA from 1 species